AUUGAACGCUGGCGGAAUGCUUUACACAUGCAAGUCGAACGGCAGCACGGACUUCGGUCUGGUGGCGAGUGGCGAACGGGUGAGUAAUACAUCGGAACGUGCCCAAUCGUGGGGGAUAACGUAGCGAAAGCUACGCUAAUACCGCAUACGAUCUAAGGAUGAAAGCGGGGGAUCGCAAGACCUCGCGCGAUUGGAGCGGCCGAUGGCAGAUAAGGUAGUUGGUAGAGUAAAGGCCUACCAAGCCGACGAUCUGUAGCUGGUCUGAGAGGAUGAUCAGCCACACUGGGACUGAGACACGGCCCAGACUCCUACGGGAGGCAGCAGUGGGGAAUUUUGGACAAUGGACGCAAGUCUGAUCCAGCCAUUCCGCGUGCAGGAUGAAGGCCCUCGGGUUGUAAACUGCUUUUGUACAGAACGAAAAGGCUCUGGUUAAUACCUAGGGCUCAUGACGGUACUGUAAGAAUAAGCACCGGCUAACUACGUGCCAGCAGCAGCCGCCG
rnacentral:rRNA from 1 species